rnacentral:rRNA from 1 species
GAUGAACGCUGGCGGCGUGCCUCACACAUGCAAGUCGAGCGAAGCGGGGACGGGUUACUAACACGUGGAUAACCCCCUAUAAUACUGGGAUACCUUCGGGAAACCGGAGCUACUCCGGAGACUUAUAGCUGGAUCCGCGCUGCAUUAGCUAGGUGGUAAGGUAACGGCUUACCAAUGCAACGAUGCAUAGCCGACCUGAGAGGGUGAUCGGCCAAAAUGGAACUGAGGAACGGUCCAGACGCCUACGGGAGGCAGCAGUAGGGAAUCUUCCGCAAUGGGCGAAAGCCUGACGGAGCAACGCCGCGUGAGUGAUGAAGGUCUUCGGAUCGUAAAACUCUGUUAUUAGGGAAGCGGUAACUAAUCAGAAAGCCACGGCUAACUACGUGCCAGCAGCCGCGGUAAUAC